ACCUGAGAUAUCCAUAAAGACCUCUCAGUUAAAGGGGCGCUGGGAACACUUGUGGGAACUCUGCCUCCCUAGCAUAACCAAAAACCAGGGUUUCCACCUAGGAGAACAAACAGAGAAAGAGAAGAGAGACAACACUAACUUGGCUUAUUGAUCUCACUGCAUGGAAUGAGGAGAGCCAAUGAGAGUAAAGAGAGGAAGAACGGAAAGAAGUGGGAUGAGAGACUCAACAAUAUGCUGCUGUGGAAUUAAAUCACCCCAAUGAUUAAUUUAAACUCAAUGGCUUAACCUCAUGAAGACAUCAUUUUCAAGACUCCUGGGUUGACUGGGUUCUGACAUACAGCUCUGCCCCAUGUGCUGAGGUUGCAUGUGCAACUGCAUUCAGGGGACAUCUGGUGACAUCUCUGAAGACUCUACAGGACAGCAGCAAUCCUUUGAAGAUGCCAGCUGCCUUUCCUCUCCUUGGAAAGUUGAAGAAGGCAGCACCACAUGUCCAGGCUUCCUGCCCUAAGAAGCUACCUUUAGGAGAGGAGCUAGUUCAGCAGGGGUCUUCCGAUAUUGGCCCAAAAGCUGAUGCCCGCAGGCAGGAGAUGAGGAAAAAUAUGCAUUCCUUCCUGUGGGUUCCUCCUGGGUGUCGCCCAUCUCUGAGCUGGCAGGGUUCAGAGCUGCUGCCAGUGGACAAAAGGAAGGGUAACCUAGAUUUCAUUCCAAAACCAGAAGUUUUCAGCUAGUUCUAGUUAAUCUCACUUAGAAUCAGAGAGUAGGUAAAAUCACACCCAAUUGUCAUAUUUGGCUGCUUUGACCUACAAAAGCAGUCAAAGUUAAUUUCAUAUGGUUCAACCACAUCAGUGCAGUCUGAUGUCUCUUUGUGUGACAAAACAAUCAUGAAAGAAAAAGAAAACAUU